AUACGUAGGUGGCAAGCGUUAUCCGGAUUUACUGGGUGUAAAGGGCGUGUAGGCGGGAUGGUAGGUCAGAUGUGAAAUACCGCAGCUUAACUGCGGGGCUGCAUUUGAAACCCCCAUUCUUGAGUGUUGGAGAGGUAAGUGGAAUUCCUAGUGUAGCGGUGAAAUGCGUAGAUAUUAGGAGGAACACCGGUGGCGAAGGCGGCUAUCUGGACAGUAACUGACGCUGAGGCGCGAAAGCACGGGGAGCAAACAGGAUUAGAUACCCUGGUAGUCCGUGCCGUAAACGAUGAAUACUAGGUGUAGGGGGUAUCGACUCCCUCUGUGCCGCAGUUAACACAUUAAGUAUUCCACCUGGGGAGUACGGCCGCAAGGUUGAAACUCAAAUGAAUUGGCGGGG
rnacentral:rRNA from 1 species